UACAGAGGGUGCGAGCGUUAAUCGGAAUUACUGGGCGUAAAGCGUGCGUAGACGGUUAUGUAAGUCGGAUGUGAAAUCCCCGGGCUCAACCUGGGAAUUGCAUUCGAGACUGCAUAGCUGGGGUGCGGAAGAGGGAAGCGGAAUUUCCGGUGUAGCGGUGAAAUGCGUAGAUAUCGGAAGGAACAUCAGUGGCGAAAGCGGCUUCCUGGUCCAGCACCGACGUUCAGGUACGAAAGCAUGGGGAGCAAACAGG
rnacentral:rRNA from 1 species